UAGUGCAUGGCCUGGUGUUCCUGCUCACUAUGAUUCAGGUCGCAGCUUAAGUAUUUCUGCUCCAUCUGAACAGGUGAACCCCAGGCUUGGUUUAGGUUUGAGAGGACUAGCUGCUGAUGGUAUUCCUGACACAUCAGUAGCCGGACGACCUGAAACAUCAGUAGCCGGACGUCCUGAAACAUCCCAAAGAAAUUUUCGAUUGAGAAUAAAUCCUUCAACUCAAGAAUCUGUUCCCUCUGCUUUAUUUUCUACAGGGAGUGCUGUUAGGCGCCCAAGUGUGCCAUCUGCCCAUCGCUCAUCUAGACUUCUUCCAAUUGAUCAUUCAUUGGACUUUAGGUCACUGCCAGCAGUCGAAGGUGCGAUUCCUCAGAGUCAGCCUCCUGUUGCCCCUGUUCCACCUUUGCCACAAAAUGUUCAGUCAUUUAGGUGGAAUGAAAGCUCUAG
rnacentral:misc_RNA from 1 species